rnacentral:lncRNA from 10 species
GAGCCGCGGCUGGGCUAGGGGCGACUUCCUUGUUUGUAUGAGCGAAAAGACUGAACCAAAAGAGACAGGGGGUGAAAACAAGAUAGGUCUGUGGAAGAGACCUGUAGGCGGAGAGCGGUCCCUGUUUUCCUGGAGAAAGACGAGUCGCAAGAUAUCAUCACCAGGGGAAACCAGGCUGAGCUGGAUCUUUACGUCGUCACCAGUGGGCGGGGAGACCAGCCUUGUACCCACUGGACAGCGGGCCCAUUCCGAGUCAGGGAAGCAGAAGGCCUGGAGGAGCUUCGGGGAGCAGGGGCUGGAGUUCCUCUGCCAGGCAGGAGGCUGACACCAGACACCGGGCAGAGGGAGGCGGCGCAUGGACGGCGAGGGCCCAGCAAGGAUUCUCCCCAGCCCCUGUGCCUGCGUCUCCUGCGGCUUCUGUGCGCGGACCGUGUCCUGUGCUGUGUAGGGAAAGCUGCUUCUCUGCUUGGGACGUGGAUUCCUUUACCCUCCUCCUCGCCUGACUACUUCUGACGCGGGUCGUCAGGACUCCGCUUGGGUGUCACCCGUCCAGGAAGCCUCCCUUAAUUAAGGGCCCUCGGCACCCACCCCAUAUGUGAUUAGCAGCCCUCCUGUGUAUUUCAUCGCACCUCGUUGUUUAUAUCAACUACUCCACUCACCAC